rnacentral:rRNA from 1 species
GUACUCCGGGGAUAACAGGCUGAUACCGCCCAAGAGUUCAUAUCGACGGCGGUGUUUGGCACCUCGAUGUCGGCUCAUCACAUCCUGGGGCUGAAGUAGGUCCCAAGGGUAUGGCUGUUCGCCAUUUAAAGUGGUACGCGAGCUGGGUUUAGAACGUCGUGAGACAGUUCGGUCCCUAUCUGCCGUGGGCGCUGGAGAACUGAGGGGGGCUGCUCCUAGUACGAGAGGACCGGAGUGGACGCAUCACUGGUGUUCGGGUUGUCAUGCCAAUGGCACUGCCCGGUAGCUAAAUGCGGAAGAGAUAAGUGCUGAAAGCAUCUAAGCACGAAACUUGCCCCGAGAUGAGUUCUCCCUGACCCUUUAAGGGUCCUGAAGGAACGUUGAAGACGACGACGUUGAUAGGCCGGGUGUGUAAGCGCAGCGAUGCGUUGAGC